rnacentral:lncRNA from 1 species
GGCCGACUAUAAUUUGUCAUCAAAUAACAUAACAAGAAAAAUGUUUUUGUCAUAAAAUUUAAAAUACUCAAUAUUUUACAGAACAUUUGGAUUUUAGAAAUGAAAAAUAAAAACAAAAAUAACUAGUUUCUUUUAAUUUUUAAUGGGUUAUAUUAGAAUAUUUUCCACAUUCAAUUUAAUUAGUUAAGCUUUAAAGUUAUUAUGAAUAAUUUGCAUGUGACAUUUCAUAAAAAUAUUAUUACCACACUACUUUGGUGUGCAUUGAGUCUAAGAUAGUGACAAAAUCUGAUUUUUAAAUUAAAAUUAAAACAAAAUUGUUACUGAUUAUGUGGGCUAGUGUUAUAAGUGAAAAAGUUACAAGGGAAGAUAUUAUAUUAUUAUGUUUUAUUUAAAUAAAACAUAUAUUAUUGCUAAUGGAUGCAAUUAUACGAUUAAAAAACAAAUAAUAAUAACAAUAAUAUAGUUAAGCUGUUAAAAUUGUUACGAUUCAUUUUAAAGAAAACAAGAGCUGAUACUGAGGAGAGGUGUUCCACUGUUGUAGGUGGGUUAUAAUGAUCCUUCUGUUAAAUUUUUAAUAAUUUCUGAUUAAUCUAAAAUUUUUAUUCAUAUACAUUUUGCCUACAAAAUAAAAAUUAUAUAAAAACUAUCUGAAUUUAAAUGUAUAAAUAGCGUAAAUGUUUUGAUAAUUUGAUCACAUAUAGAAAAGGAAAAUAUAAGUAUUAUGUUAAAAUUUCAAGUAUUUACAAAUAUUUUAAACUGAACUACAACAAAAAAACAAAAUUAAAAAUAAUAAAAGUAUAGCAAUAAUAUCAUAGGAGAUUAUCAAAGUUGUUUUAUGUCAGGCAGAUCAACAAUAAACCAUAUAUUCACACUUAAACAAGUAAACAAGUAAUAAAAAAAUACUAUGAAUUUAACAGGCUGUUUCACUUACUCUUUAUAGAUUUUAAAGUACAAAGAGCAGAAAUAUGUUUAAAGUUGUUUGAAUUAACUGAGGCUGAUACAUUUCACUAUUGGCAUAUGCUGAUGACGUUUAAUAUUAGGCGAAAGUAAUCAAGACAUUCAAAAAGCAACAGAAUCAUUGAUACAUGCAAAAAAUGGAGACUCAUCAUUAAUGAGACAAACAAAAUACAUGAUGUCAAAUUCAAUAGCUGUCAUACACAACAUAAAUCUGGAGCAUGUUUGAAGAAGCAAAUAAUUUUAAAUAUCUAGGCACAAACAACAACCAUGAAGAAAUCAAAAUGGCAUUAUAUAAAGGAAUAAGUGUUUUCAUGUCCUCUUGGAGUUAAUAGCUACUAUUAAAAAAAAAAAAGUAAAGAACAAUUUUACAGAGUACUAGCUAGACCAGCAUGCAAGGAGAUUAAAAUAGAUUAGCUAUCAUUUAGAGAAAAUUAUUAUUAAGAGAAAAAGACCAAGCAUAAGAAAUUAGGUUUAAUAGAGAAAUACAGGAACUAAUCAGAAAAUUAAAUAUAACAGCAGAAAUAAGAUACAAGAGACCGAGUUGACUUGGACUAAAGGCUAAAUCAAUAGCAAAUGAUGUAAUGAGCUGGGUUCCUCAGGGAAGGAGGCCAAUUAGAAGACCGAAACAGAGAUAGAUUGACAAUAGUAAAAAAGAGGUAAGACAACUUGGGAUAGAAAAGGUCAAUGAAACAGCUCUGAACAGAGACAUAUGGAAAGAAUUGUGUUUUGUAGCCAUAGGCCUCAAUGGUUCCUAAAGCUGAAAGAAGAAUAAAAGCAUUGUUUUCAUUAACUUUUCCUAUUCUUUCAACUCCCUCGUUUGUUCAAUUAAUAAAAAAAAACUACAGGAAAAACUAAAAUAAGACUAUUACUUGUCAAAUAUAUUAAAUAUGGAACAAAAAAUUAUUUUGUUUUUCUAUUGGAGCGAUAUUUCUGGUAAAAAGACAUUGCGACAAAAAUUAAAAAUAAAUACUGUGAAAACUAUGUUGGAUAUCAAAAUCCAACUUUUUU